AAAAAAUCUUUUGAUCAUAGUCAAAAGACUGAUGUACACUGGAGGAAGCACGGCUAACUCGUGCCAGCAGCGCGUAAUACGGAGGGUGCAAGCGUGUUCGGAUUACUGGGCGUAAAGAGCGUGUAGGCGGUUUAGCAAGUCAGAUGUGAAAGCCCUGGGCUCAACCCGGGAAGUGCAUUUGAAACUGCUUCACUAGAGUAUGGGAGAGGAGAUUGGAAUUCCUGGUGUAGAGGUGAAAUUCGUAGAUAUCAGGAGGAACACCCGUGGCGAAGGCGAUUCUCUGGACCAAUACUGACGCUGAGACGCGAAAGCGUGGGGGGCAAACAGGAUUAGAUACCCUGGUAGUCCACGCCGUAAACGAUGAGAACUAGGUGUAGUGGGUAUUGACCCCUGCUGUGCCGAAGUUAACGCAUUAAGUUCUCCGCCUGGGGAGUACGGCCGCAAGGCUAAAACUCAAAGGAAUUGACGGGGGCCCGCACAAGCGGUGGAGCAUGUGGUUUAAUUCGACGCAACGCGAAGAACCUUACCUGGGUUUGACAUCCUCUGACCGUCUGGGAAACCAGAUUUUUCCGGCUUUGUCGGAACAGAGUGACAGGUGCUGCAUGGCUGUCGUCAGCUCGUGUCGUGAGAUGUUGGGUUAAGUCCCGCAACGAGCGUAACCCUUGUCUUUAGUUGCCAUUAUUAAGUUAGGCACUCUAAAGAGACUGCCUCGGUUAACGGGGAGGAAGGUGGGGAUGACGUCAAGUCCUCAUGGCCUUUAUAUCCAGGGCUACACACGUGCUACAAUGGGCUGUACAAAGGGUUGCUAUCCCGCGAGGGGGCGCCAAUCCCAAAAAGCAGUUCUCAGUUCGGAUUGAAGUCUGCAACUCGACUUCAUGAAGGUGGAAUCGCUAGUAAUCGUGGAUCAGCAUGCCACGGUGAAUACGUUCCCGGGCCUUGUACACACCGCCCGUCACACCACGAAAGUCGACCGUACCAGAAGUUGCUGGGCUAACCUCUUCGGAGGGGGCAGGU
rnacentral:rRNA from 1 species